UACAGAGGUCUCAAGCGUUGUCCGGAAUCAUUGGGCGUAAAGAGCGUGUAGGCGGCCCGGUAAGUCCGCUGUGAAAGUCCAGGGCUCAACCCUGGGAUGCCGGUGGAUACUGUCGGGCUCGAGUCCGGAAGAGGAGUGUGGAAUCCUGGUGGUAGCGGUGGAAAUGCGCAGAUAAUCAGGAGGAACACAAUGGCGAAGGCAGCGACCUACGUGGGACGGUGACUGACGCUGAGACGCGAAAGCGUGGGG
rnacentral:rRNA from 1 species